UACGUAGGUGACAAGCGUUAUCCGGAUUUAUUGGGCGUAAAGCGCACGCAGGCGGUCUAUCAAGUCUGACGUGAAAUCUCUCGGCUUAACCGGGAGCGGUCGUUGGAAACUGAAGGACUUGAGGCGAUGAGAGGGGUGUGGAAUUCCCGGUGUAGUGGUGGAAUGCGUAGAUAUCGGGAAGAACACCAGUGGCGAAGGCGGCUGCCUGGCCUGUAACUGACGCUGAGACGCGAAAGCGUGGGAGCGAACCGG
rnacentral:rRNA from 1 species